GGGGGGGGUAAUCACACAGAUCUUUCAUAUCUCAGUUGCAAAAGGCAGAGGAAGACUCAAGCUGAAGAGAUAUCUGCUGAUGUCAACGGCUUCAGGGAGAGCUUUUCACCUAAAAGGGACACACAAAGAACAGGAUCUUACCCAAGAUAGCUCAUCGCAUUUAGUCAUCAUGUUCCCUAGUUUCCUCUCCACUGCGACUGUUUCUCAGACUUCCUGUUUGUGACGACCUUGACGAUUUUGACGAAUACCAGUUGGGUGUUUUGCAGAAUGCCUAUCACCGAUGAGGUUCCCUUUGGUCACCUGGCUGAACUUGUCAGGUUUCUCCACUAUAAGGUCACGCUUUUUCCCCCCUUUUCAUACUGUACUCUCGGAAAGGACGUCACUGUACAAACCCACUGGAAAGGGGUGGGCAGUUACGCACCAUCCCCUUGAGGGAGGAAUACACAUGUACAUUGUUUGCAAUUCUGUGCUUCUGGAAGAUUUGUCUCUUCUCCCCCAUUUAUUUAUUUGUUUGUUUGCUUAAUCAUGUAUCAUAUAGACACAUGUAUAUCUAAGUAUGGACUCACAGAUACUUUACUUUGGUUAUAAUCUUUUCUAAAAAUUUCAUUUAUAAUCUAAUACUACUUUACUGUGUUGCUGCAAGUGUUCCGACGUCCACAAUUUGGAGAUUCUUCUGUUGGUUCAUUUGUCCCUUUCAACCUAUUUAUUUUUAAAAAUUUAUUUGUUUGAGGGUGCGGAGGGGCCGAAGGAAAGAGACAAGCCGACACCCCACUGAGCGAAGGGAAGUCCCUCACGGGGGCUCGGUCCCAGGCCCCUGAGAUCACAACCUGAGCCGAAGUCAGAUGCUUAACUGACAGCCACCCAGGUGCCCCCUCAACCUAUUUUCAAGAGAAAUGAUGUUAUUCUUUGAUCUUUGUCUCUUGCUUUUCCUACUUCAAGUACUUGCAUAUCUAAAGUUUCAGUGUUGAUGAAUAAUGUGGAGUUCAAGGUGAUGCUCCACAGUCAGGAACACCAAGGCAUUUUACUUCAAACCAAUUCAAAGAUCCAGUAAGAUAAUCUCUCUGGGGUUAAAAAAAAAACAUAAUAAGUUCAGUUGUCAGGAUUCAUUAUGUAUGUGUGGGUUUAUAUUUUGCCCAACCCGUCUCGUGUAUUUACUUAAAUAAACAGGGUUGAAGUGGU